GUAUCCCGACCGUGCUAAGGUAGCAUAAUCAUUUGCCUCUUAAUUGGUGGCUAGUAUGAAUGGACACACGCAAGUACCCCUGUCUCAUUAAUAUACAUAAAAAUUACCAAUCAGGUGAAGAGGCCUGAAUAUAAUAAAAAGACAAAAAGACCCUAUGGAGCUUCAUUUAAAACCCCAAUUUACACCAGUCUCACGACACCCCGCCCUGGGCAAAUAAAUUUAGUUGGGGCGACUAAGGAAAACCAUAAAUCUUCCUCCUAACAAAAGAAAAUAAAUCCUCACUGAUCCGUUACACGAAUAAAGACACAGCUACCCUAGGGAUAACAGGCUAAUUCUUCUCGAGAGCCCAAAUUGACAGAAGAGAUUGGCACCUCG
rnacentral:rRNA from 1 species